GAAUAAUUCUGUUACAAAGUUUACUUACAAAUUUCGAAAUUGAAGUUCUAUCAGGUCAAUUGAUAAAUAUAUGUAUGUGUGUUUCUAUUUUUACAGCCUCUGAAGAAAUUUCCAUUCUGGUUUCUGAUUGAGGCUAACUCCCAAGGAAGCAAUGAAGCAAGGAAACAGGUUAUUGGGGUGGGGAAGAUUCACUUCAUAUGGUUACAAUGUAACCUGUUUGAUCUCUGCUUUGAUAUCCCAUGUAAGCUCUCCCUUUAAUUAUACAUAUGUAUUUUUUAGAUAUCUUUUGAAAAUUUAAUUGUCAUCCCAAACUAGCACCCUUAAUUUUGAAUUAGGUGGAGAAAGGAAGUUUAAUGCUUUGUGGCUUUCUAAUUUACUUUGUUCUUCUGGGAUGAGGUCUCUGGGAAGAUUUGCAGUUUCUAUGGUGAUCAGUUACUCUUUCUCCCCAACAAUGAUGGGACAUGAAAAAAUAGAAUUGGAUACUGCUACCUGCUACUUUCCCGAUCAAUGACAGAUUAUGCAGCUUUUUGUGUGGAGUAAAUUCUCCAAUGAGAUCCUAUGGAGGCUUGUUUUUCAUCUUCUGGUUAGCUUUUUCGUCUGUUAAGGUUUCGGAAAGCCCUUUGCUAAUGCCAAUUAUAGUUUAAUAGAUAAGUGACUGGUCAAUUGGGGAAUUCUCAAUAUGGACUACCGCCACAA